rnacentral:lncRNA from 1 species
UUUGCCAAUUCAAGUUCGUACGAAGUUCUUUCCGCUGUGGAGUGGUGGGUGUCUUGAACAGUUUUAGGUAUUAGAUUUCACUCAAAACUCACCAAAUUAGUCCUCCCACCAAAUUAUGAUGUUGAACAAUUUUUGGAUUCAAUUCGAUAUUGAUUGGUCCUUGAAAUUGUACAAUUCAGGUUCGUACGAAGUUCAUUCUGAAAUGGAGUGGUUUGUGUUUUUCAUAGUUUGCGAAAUUGGAUUUCAAU